GACGAACGCUGGCGGCGUGCUUAACACAUGCAAGUCGAACGGAAAGGCCCUGCUUUUGUGGGGUGCUCGAGUGGCGAACGGGUGAGUAACACGUGAGUAACCUGCCCUUGACUUUGGGAUAACUUCAGGAAACUGGGGCUAAUACCGGAUAGGAACUCCUGCUGCAUGGUGGGGGUUGGAAAGUUUCGGCGGUUGGGGAUGGACUCGCGGCUUAUCAGCUUGUUGGUGGGGUAGUGGCUUACCAAGGCUUUGACGGGUAGCCGGCCUGAGAGGGUGACCGGCGAGUGUGGUGCGAGGCGAGCGGCAGACGCCGUGCGGGGGGCGGGGGGGGGAAACAUUGGAGAGGGGGGGGAAGCUGUAGCGAGAGCGCCGGCGGGGGGUGGGCGGGCUUGGGGGUUGUGAUCCGCUGUCGCGGGGGACGGGGGGGGUGUGAAGGUAGUGGGAAAAGAAGGCCGGACUAACUACGUGCCAGCGGCCGGGGUAAUAAGAGGAAGAGCACACUGCUGACC
rnacentral:rRNA from 1 species